UGGGAAGCACUUGAUAGCUAUUUCUUCC
rnacentral:piRNA from 1 species